ACUCCUACGGGAGGCAGCAGUAGGGAAUCUUCCACAAUGGGCGCAAGCCUGAUGGAGCAACACCGCGUGAGUGAAGAAGGGUUUCGGCUCGUAAAGCUCUGUUGUUAAAGAAGAACACGUAUGAGAGUAACUGUUCAUACGUUGACGGUAUUUAACCAGAAAGUCACGGCUAACUACGUGCCAGCAGCCGCGGGUAAUACGUAGGUGGCAAGCGUUAUCCGGAUUUAUUGGGCGUAAAGAGAGUGCAGGCGGUUUUCUAAGUCUGAUGUGAAAGCCUUCGGCUUAACCGGAGAAGUGCAUCGGAAACUGGAUAACUUGAGUGCAGAAGAGGGUAGUGGAACUCCAUGUGUAGCGGUGGAAUGCGUAGAUAUAUGGAAGAACACCAGUGGCGAAGGCGGCUACCUGGUCUGCAACUGACGCUGAGACUCGAAAGCAUGGGUAGCGAACAGGAUUAGAUACCCUGGUAGGAUAGCG
rnacentral:rRNA from 1 species